rnacentral:rRNA from 1 species
GAUGAACGCUGGCGGCGUGCCUAACACAUGCAAGUCGAACGGAAAGACACUGCGAUUGUGCGCUUACCGAUUGCGGAUGGCGGGAGUAACACGUGUGUAACCUGCUCUUGUUUUUCGGGUAACUUCACGUAACUGGGGUUAAGAUAGGACAGGAUCUCCUGUACCAGGGUGGGCAUUGGAAAUUUUCGGCGUUUGGGGAUGGAUUCGCGGAUGUCGGGUUAGCUAGUUGGGUGGGUAAAGGCCCAGCAAGGCGACGAUCCGUAGCUGGUCUGAGAGGAUGAUCAGCCACACUGGAACUGAGACACGGUCCAGACUCCUACGGGAGGCAGCAGUGGGGAAUAUUGGACAAUGGGCGCAAGCCUGAUCCAGCAAGACCGCGUGGGUGAAGAAGGCCUUCGGGUUGUAAAGCCCUUUUGUUGGGGAAGAAAAGCAGUAGGUUAAUACACGGCGGUUCUGACGGUACCAAAAGAAAAAGCACCGGCUAACUUCGUG